rnacentral:rRNA from 1 species
GACGAACGCUGGCGGCGUGCCUAAUACAUGCAAGUAGAACGCUGAAGAGAGGAGCUUGCUCUUCUUGGAUGAGUUGCGAACGGGUGAGUAACGCGUAGGUAACCUGCCUUGUAGCGGGGGAUAACUAUUGGAAACGAUAGCUAAUACCGCAUAACAAUGGAUGACACAUGUCAUUUAUUUGAAAGGGGCAAUUGUUCCACUACAAGAUGGACCUGCGUUGUAUUAGCUAGUAGGCGAGGUAAUGGCUCACCUAGGCGACGAUACAUAGCCGACCUGAGAGGGUGGUCGGCCACACUGGGACUGAGACACGGCCCAGACUCCUACGGGAGGCAGCAGUAGGGAAACUUCGGCAAUGGGGGCAACCCUGACCGAGCAACGCCGCGGGAGUGAAGAAGGUUUUCGGAUCGUAAAGCUCGGUUGUAAGUCAAGAACGGGUGUGAGAGUGGAAAGUUCACACUGUGACGGUAGCUUACCAGAAAGGGACGGCUAACUACGUG